rnacentral:rRNA from 1 species
UACGAAGGUGGCAAGCGUUACUCGGAAUUACUAGGCGUAAAGGGCAGGUAGGCGGUUUGAUAAGUCUGUUGUGAAAGCUCCCGGCUUAACUGGGAGAGGUCAACAGAUACUGUCGAACUUGAGUAUGGGAGAGGGUACUGGAAUUCCUGGUGUAGCGGUGAAAUGCGCAGAGAUCAGGAGGAACACCGAUGGCGAAAGCAGGUACCUGGACCAUUACUGACGCUCAGCUGCGAAAGCUAGGGGAGCAAACAGG